rnacentral:sRNA from 1 species
CGCCGGCCCCGCCCCCGCCGUUCGCGCUCUGACCAGCCCGCAGAGCCAGCCCCCGACCCCGGGCCACCCGGGCCCCCGGGUUCCGCUGGCAGUCUCGCCACCACCGCGUGGGUGCCCAAUUACCUGCCCUCGGUGAGCUCAGCCAUCGGUGGGGAGGUGCCCCAGCGCUACGUGUGGCGUUUCUGCAUCGGCCUGCACUCGGCGCCUCGCUUCUUGGUGGCCUUCGCCUACUGGAACCACUACCUCAGCUGUACCUCCCCGUGUUCCUGCUAUCGCCCGCUCUGCCGCCUCAACUUCGGCCUCAAUGUCGUGGAGAACCUCGCGUUGCUAGUGCUCACUUAUGUCUCCUCCUCUGAGGACUUCAGUGGGUGCCCGGAUGAGGGAGGAGUGGGGAAGGGUUCCCUGAGGGGACGGGCCUGCCCCUACCACUUUCGGACCUUCCUACUUAGUGGUGUGGGCACUCCCUGCAAUGUGGCUCCCAAUCCUCUUUCCCUCCAGCCGUCCAUGAAAAUGCUUUCAUUGUGUUCAUUGCCUCAUCCCUCGGGCACAUGCUCCUCACCUGCAUUCUCUGGCGGUUGACCAAGAAGCACACAGUAAGUCAGGAGGAUCGCAAGUCCUACAGCUGGAAACAGCGGCUCUUCAUCAUCAACUUCA